rnacentral:rRNA from 1 species
CGGCGGACGGGUGAGUAACGCGUGGGUAACCUGCCCUGUACAGGGGGAUAACAGUCAGAAAUGACUGCUAAUACCGUAUAAGACCACAGCACCGCAUGGUGCAGGGGUAAAAACUCCGGUGGUACAGGAUGGACCCGCGUCUGAUUAGCUGGUUGGUGAGGUAACGGCUCACCAAGGCGACGAUCAGUAGCCGGCUUGAGAGAGUGAACGGCCACAUUGGGACUGAGAGACGGCCCAAACUCCUACGGGAGGCAGCAUG